rnacentral:rRNA from 1 species
UACGUUGGGUGCGAGCGUUGUCCGGAAUUAUUGGGCGUAAAGAGCUCGUAGGCGGUUUGUCGCGUCUGCUGUGAAAACUCGGGGCUUAACUCCGGGCCUGCAGUGGGUACGGGCAGACUAGAGUGCGGUAGGGGAGACUGGAAUUCCUGGUGUAGCGGUGAAAUGCGCAGAUAUCAGGAGGAACACCGGUGGCGAAGGCGGGUCUCUGGGCCGUAACUGACGCUGAGGAGCGAAAGCGUGGGGAGCAAACAGG